rnacentral:rRNA from 1 species
CAGUAGCCACGGGAAUACGGAGGGUGCAAGCGUUAAUCGGAAUUACUGGGCGUAAAGCGUGCGUAGGCGGUUCGUUAAGUCUGUUGUGAAAGCCCCGGGCUCAACCUGGGAAUGGCAAUGGAUACUGGCGAGCUAGAGUGUGUCAGAGGAUGGUGGAAUUCCCGGUGUAGCGGUGAAAUGCGUAGAGAUCAGGAGGAACAUCAGUGGCGAAGGCGGCCAUCUGGGACAACACUGACGCUGAGGCACGAAAGCGUGGGGAGCAAACAGGAUUAGAUACCCGCGUAGUCCCUGUCUCUUAUAC